GAUGCUGCCUGGAGUUAAAGGAGGCCAGGAGCACCAGAAGCUGGAGGAGGCCGGGGUGGAUUCUCGCCUGGAGGCUUCAGUGGGAGCACGAGCUCCCGACACUUCGGUUCCAUCUCUUGUUUAAAGGCACCCAGUUUCUCAUCAUUUGUUACAGCACCAUGGAAAACCCACACACAAGUGAAGCCCCGACCCACCUCCCAAGUGCCCAUCUGAGCACCCCUCGUGGACUCUGAGCAGGGGACACCAAAACCAACCUGAACUAGAAAUGCAAGAGAAAAAUGAAGCAAGUUGCCAUCACCAACUCCAAGUCUUGCAGCCCCUCUUCCCUUCAGUCUGGCUGCCACCUUCUUCAUUGCCCUGGAAAAAAAUAAUGAAGUUUCACCAUUUAAAGGGUUUCAGUGCAGCUUGCUAUGGGAACACUGGAGAGUAACACAAAUGGCCAAUUGUCCUAAUAGCCACCAUGGAUUGGAUGGAUGCUAACAACAGGCUCACAGUUCUCCUUCUGUUGCCUCCUUUUAUCCACAUGAGAAUCAAACAAGUAGGUGCUGCUGGUAUUACUGUAUUUUUCUCAUUUUAAAGAUCAGGAUGGGGAGGGUU
rnacentral:lncRNA from 1 species